ensembl:misc_RNA Metazoa_SRP Metazoan signal recognition particle RNA
GCUGGACAUCGUGGCGGGUGCCUGUAAUCCCAGCUACUUGGAGGCUGAGGCAGGAGAAUCGCUUGAACCCAGGAGGUGGAGGUUGCAGUGAGCCGAGAUUGCACCAUUGCACUCCAGCCUGGGCGACAAGAGUGAAACUCUGUCUCAAAAAAAAAAGAAAAAAUUUUUUUUAGAGACAGGAUCUUACUCUUGUCGCCCAGGCAGGAGUGCAAUGGUGUGAUCACAACUCACUGUAGCCUUGACCUGGGCUCAAGUGAUCCUCCCACCUUA